rnacentral:rRNA from 1 species
CACGUAGGGGGCGAGCGUUGUCCGGAUUUAUUGGGCGUAAAGAGCUCGUAGGCGGUUUGGCAAGUCGGGUGUGAAAUUUCGAGGCUCAACCUCGAAACGCCACUCGAUACUGCCAUGACUGGAGUCCGGUAGAGGAGUGCGGAAUUCCUGGCGUAGCGGUGAAAUGCGCAGAUAUCAGGAGGAACACCAACGGCGAAGGCAGCACUCUGGGCCGGUACUGACGCUGAGGAGCGAAAGCGUGGGGAGCAAACAGG